UGCCACAGCCAUAUUACCCUGCAGCCCAAGACUGGUUGCCCACUGAAGCUAAGCAGGGUUGAGCCUGGUUAGUACCUGGAUGGGAGACCUCCUGGGAAAACUAGGUUGCGGCUGGAA
rnacentral:rRNA from 1 species